UACGUAGGGGGCUAGCGUUAUCCGGAAUUACUGGGCGUAAAGGGUGCGUAGGUGGUUUCUUAAGUCAGAAGUGAAAGGCUACGGCUCAACCGUAGUAAGCUUUUGAAACUAAGAGACUUGAGUGCAGGAGAGGAGAGUAGAAUUCCUAGUGUAGCGGUGAAAUGCGUAGAUAUUAGGAGGAAUACCAGUUGCGAAGGCGGCUCUCUGGACUGUAACUGACAAUGAGGCACGAAAGCGUGGGGAGCAAACAGG
rnacentral:rRNA from 1 species